AAGAGCAGGUGUGCGCUAAACUUCGCCUUUGAGUCUGGAAAGGCCCCUGCCCGGCGGGGGCCACGUUAAUAACCAGCCUCGACAAAUCCCUACAAGAGACCCGCUCCUAGGCAGCCAGAGCGCGGCUGAGCGAGACACGCCAGAAGCCAGAAGCCAGCCCCGCUCCGGGAAGGGGGCGGCCGCCACCGCUUUGCAGGCAGCUGGGUGGUGAGCGGGGCCUGCCGGAGGAGGAGCAGCGGCAGCCUGGGCCCUUGUGACAGGCUCCGGCCGCUCUUGGAGCGCGGGGGGCGGGAUCGCUGCAGGGCGCCCCCGGCCCCUCGCCAUGGCCAAGCAUGUUUUCCUCACCGGACCCCCAGGGAUUGGAAAGACGACACUGAUCCAGAAAGCCACUGAAGUCCUAAAAUCCUCUGGGGUCCCUAUUGAUGGAUUUUACACAGAGGAAGUCAGAGAAAGCGGCAGGAGGAUAGGAUUUGAUGUCAUCACUUUGUCUGGGAGACGAGGAACUUUAUCUAGACUUGGUUCUGAUUCUUCUACUGCAAGACAUGAAUAUCGUGUUGGACAAUACAUAGUAGACCUGGUUUCAUUUGAGCACUUGGUGCUUCCUGUGCUGAGAAAUGUUGAUCUUGGUAGUGACACAGGGAAAAAAGUGUACGUAAUAGAUGAGGUUGGUAAAAUGGAACUCUUCAGCCGGUCUUUUAUUCAAGCAGUUCGACAAACUCUGACUGCUUCAGGGACCACAAUUCUUGGAACUAUACCAAUACCUAAAGGCAAGCCAUUGGGUCUCGUGGAGGAGAUAAGAAGUCGGAAGGAUGUUAAGGUGUUCAAUAACCUAAGCAGAUGAGCUGUGAAUUAAACCUUGAAGACUCCCAAGAACUUGAUGACUACGAGGAAUGCCAAACAGUUCUGAGAUGGAGAAGGGAAAUCGCACUGAUCUUAACUAGGCUUGACAAAGUUUGUCCCGCUCUUGGAUGAAACAGAUGUCUGUGUGCUUUUCGCCGAGUUGUAUUAAGAUCUUCUAUUGCUUUCACUUGCACUUCCACGCAUGCUUCUUUUUGAGCAUGUCCAGAUUUCCACCACAAGUGUGUCAGCACCGCUGCGGGGGAAGGAUAUCAGGCAGAGUUUAUUCAUUGUUUUAGAAAUGUCAAAAACCUGAGAUGAAGUUGCACUGCAUUUUAGGACAUCUUUAAAUUCUGUAAAGGUCCUUCCAUCCCCACAUGCCAAGCCUUUUUGCUGAAGAACAUCUGCACUAUGGGAUUCUCUCUCCGAAGUUAGAAAAAUAAAGCGUUUUUGAGCUCUAGCAGAUGGACCCAUGGUAAUGUUGACACUGCUGGAUGACUGGGUAUCAGUUGUGUUUCCUCCAUCAGCAGCCGAGAGCCCAGAAAUCACCAAAGCACUUGAAAAACUUCUCUUGCCAAACAGAAGGCUGAGAGUAGAGCUGGUGGAAGAGGCCAGACUGGACCUCAGCAUUGCUCCAGUUCUAUCCUGGACAGUCAACUGGCCACUAGCAGGAAUGGCAGGGGUCUGAGAAAACACAGAUGUGACUGAAUUGUGGAAGGACAACUGGCUUCUGGAAAGCCUUUGGACAAUUUCAUGGGCAGAUGUGGAAGCUUGGAUAAUGGGCUGGUAACUUUCUACAAGUGGUUCAGAAUGACUUGAAACCGGUGGCCUCUGGUUUAAGGCAGCAUGUGUCUGAACAGACUGACUCCUGAAUUUUCUUCUGCCUUUAAACAAGAGAAAUAGUUUUAUUUUAAAUUAUAUUUUCAGUUACAUACCAUCAAAGCACACAUAUUACUGGUUCUAUCCAUUUACUAGGGUAUAUUUUACGUAGCGUUCUUUAUCACACAUACACUUUUAUACUGAGGAUCUAAACACUUUACAAACAAACGUUCAGCGAAUCAUAGAAAUUAGAGAUGGAUGAACCUAUGAAGUCAUUUGGUUCAUCCCACUGGCAGUGCAAAAUGGUCCAGAUCUUCUAUUGCCUUUGAUGGGAGCAGAAUUUGAGCCUUUGUGAGGAACAUAAAUAAUGUAAUUAUUAAAUCCAUUUCACAGAUGAAUAAAUGGAGAAACAGAGAGCAAGAUUCCCCAAGAAACGUAGGUGUAGUGAUGCUGAGUGUCACCAUGCCUAACUUUCAGCUGUCUUGAAAAUCACUAAUUCACAAAGCCAGCGUUCGAUGCUCAGGCUCGCUAUACAAUGAAUAGGUGCUUCAGCAUGGUAUUCACAAAAGCCAGCAUGCUAGGUGGCUCCUCGCCUAAGCUAGCCAAUGGGAGAUGCCUAAGCAAGGGGUGUAUCCUAAGCCCAUCCCUCUCAGGGAGUUUGGUGCCUAAGGGCUGCAGGGAGGCAUCUUCCUCUGCUUGGGAUUCUCAGCUACAAACCUUUUCUUGGUGUUAGGUGCCUCCACCAUUUCUACCAGAAGUGAAGGAGGUGGCUCUCCCUCAACUUUUAGUCCAGCUGUUAGAGUACUUACCUAGGCUGUGGAGACCCUUAGGAUAUGAUGCAUCUGAAGAAGUGGGUUUUUCACCCAAGAAAGCUUAUGCCCAAAUAAAUCUGUUAGUCUUUAAGGUGCCACCGGACUCCUUGUUUUUUUAGGAUAUGAGGGGAUUUGAGCAGGGAUUUACCACCGCUCAGAUGCAUGCCCUAACCACUGAGGUAUGGGAUAUUCUGAUGUGGGGCUCCCUCAUUUUCUCUUGUUUAAGCUGUUCUACUGUGGAACUCUUAAGUACCUAAAUCCCUUUUUGAAAAUGAGAUUUAGGCCCCUAAAUCAGUUGGGCAUUGCAACGCUAAGCACAGCAACAUCUCAAUAGCUUUAAAAAAUCUCAGCCCAAGUGCCUUAGAAAAUUCCACUCCUAAAGCUUUAUAUAGUUUAAUUUAAUUGCAAAUUAAAACAAAGUAAGGUUACACAGAAUUACCCUUGCCCUCAGAACUAGGAAUGUGAAGACACUUCCACCUCACAGGGGAAGAGUAUUUACAACAAAGGAAGUUGUUUGAGGUCAAGAAUUUAAGAGGAAGAGACCUAUGUGGGGGGCAGAUUAUUCCACAUCUACCUACUGCAAGGUCUUUGCACCAUCCUUUGAAGCUCCUGGUUGUGGCUACUGUCAGAGAAAGGAUACUUGCUGUUUUCAAAAAUAUUAAUACUUUUUAAACCCCACAAUUAUGGCUAUGACAUUAAAGUACCAGCUCAGAACAAGCACCCAGUCUUAUGGGGACUCAGAAGGCCCAGCCCUUCCAACUCAAUCCUAAGGAUAGGGGAUCCCAUAAACCAGGAGUCUGUUUGCUGGAUCACGAAAUGUUUAAAAGCUGGCUAUUUAUCCAAAAGUCCUUUCUUUGUCUAUUGGUCCCUGGAGAAUCCAGUUUGAAGUAGUAUAUGUGUAUGUCUCCGGAGGGCCGGGGAGUGUCUUCAAAGGGUUGAUAACCAGAGGAAUUACAUUAGCAUCACCCGCCUACCAGAGAAGGUAUGUACAAUGCCACAAUAACACAUACAGAAUUGCAUUUUUAAUACAAUGGAUUCCAAAGGUAUUAAACCUAAAUCAAUAAGGUUUAAUUUAACUCAAUAAAAUUCAUUCGGGAUAUUGUAGAUAAUUCUCAGUCUGUCACAGUACCAAGUCAAAUGCCUGACAAAAGUUUAAGUAUACUACAUCAACACUAUUACCUUUAUCAACUAGACUUGUAAUCUCAUAAAAAAAAAAAUCAAGUUAGUUUGACAAGAUUGCUUUUCCUUAUACCCGUGUUGACUGGCAUUCAUUAUAUUACCUGCCUUCAAUUCUUUAUUAAUCAAGUCCCAAAUCAGCUGUUCAAUUAUUAUGAAGAGAUUGAUGCCCCGCUGCCAAACUUAUAAUUACCUGGGCCAUCUUGUUUACCUUUUUAAAUUAUUGGCACAAUAUUAGCUUUCUUUGAGUCCCCUGGGACUUCCCCAGUGUUUGAAGACUUAUUGAAAAUCAACAUUAGGAUCCAGAGAGCUUCUCAACCAGCUCUUUUAAAACUCUUGGUUGUAAGUUAUCUGAACCUGUUGAAUUAAAAAAUGUCAAGCCGUAGCUGCUUUUUAACAUUCUCCUUAGUUACUUUUGGAAUGGAAACUAUUUCAUCAUCAACAGCAUCUUCAUCAUCAUCAUAUGAUAUAAACACAUUAUCUGGCCUUUUCCCAAAUAUAAUACAGAAAUAUAUUUAACACUUCUGCCUUUUCUGCAUUAUUAUUGAUGAUUCUACCAUUUCCAUUUGGUAAUUGACUAAUGCAUUGAUAGGAUUCCUUUCAUUCCUAAUAUAAUAAAAAAAACCUCCUUCUUGUCCUUAACUGUAGCUUCUGAUUUAUAUUACUUUCAUCUUCCUCUUUCUUGCAUUUGUUAUAUAUAAUUUUUUAAAAUGAUUUUUAUAGCUGUUUUCACUUCUCCUCUCAGACAGGUUGGUUUUUAACCAAUGUAGUCUUUUAUCACUAUUGUGGUUUUUUGGGCAUCUAGCAAAAUGUUCUUAAACAAUUCCCAGUGAUCUUUCAUUAUCAUUUGAGCCCCUCAGGGUCAUUAUUUUACAAUUAAGCUUACCUUUCUGAUUAUGGCACUGUCAAAUUGUAAAAGUGCACAUGGGGAUUUUGCUCCAACACAGGAAUCAAAAGCAGCAGUUGUAAUCUUACAAUAUAAUUUAUAUUCAAGGCAAGAUUCUCUCCAGCCUUGUCCAUUAUUUUUAAUGUAAGAGCCAAUAGAUAUAACAAGAAAUGAACAAGUAUCCUGUUCCUAGUUCUCUGCCUUAAUUUAUAACCUAUAGCAUAACUGUGAUGUACAGUCAAUUAACUCAACCUUUCAGCAAGUCCUGAGCCCUCAGAGAUGUGAUGAGUAGGACUUAUUUUACACCAGUUUUAUAAUUUUACACCAGUAUUUCCAGUGAGCAGGCAGCUAGCCCUGCCUUACAGAUCAUCACAAAUCUAAAAUAGUUUUUGGCUCAGAAUAUAAGUUCAAAGCAUGGUUUUGUUCAUAAGUGAUGAGGACAUGAAUUACUCCGUAUCAGAAUGAUUGGCCAGGUCUAAAUGUUGGCUUUUUUCUGAUGAGUACUGUAUUUAUAUAAUGGAAGCUACACUAGAGAAACAAUCCCAUGUGCAUUAGUGAUCAGGAAACCCUCUUACUCAUAUAAUCAGGACAUUUUGUUCACUUUCCCCAAUGUCUCCCAUUUAGCAAUUUAGUUAAGAGUUUGGCACAAUUUUAGGGUUAGAAUUCCCAAUAAACAGUCAAGGCACAGGGCUCACUGAAUUCACUUUUUAACUACUUCCCAUCUUUUGUUUGAAUUUCCUCCAUUACAAAAGGCAUCUCCUGGUCCAGGAAUCUAGCAUUCAGUUGUUUGUCAGUGGGGACUCAGGUAACUUCUUUGAUAGCCAUUCUGCUUGUCCUAUGCCUUCCCAAUGACCCUCCCCUGGAAGAAUAAGUCAGAAGGUCACCCCCUAAACAUGCCUGCUUAAUAAUUUGCUUGGAAAUUAGGGAAGUUGAGAUCUCUAUUUCUUAAAUUAGGAUUUCCAGUGGACAUUUCUUUUGUUCUCAUUCUGGCCCCUUUUGCACUGCUUGGAUGUCACAAAGGUGUCAGAAUCUGAUCAUAGCUACCCAGAAGAGAAUACUCCCAGUGAAAGGGAACCCUCUGUAUUAACAGGGGAACUGACUCCUGUGCUCAUUUGCACUACUAGUAUAUGAGACAUGUUGGAGGUAGGAAGGGGGUGUGGCUAAUGUUAUAUGGUCCCUUAAGAUGCAGACUGGUUCCCAGGAUCAGGGAGCUGUAACCCUAACCAGCUCCUUAACACACCUCUCCUCUAAUCCUCUACACUGAGUGGAUCUCAGACACUGAGGUGAACCUGGCCCAUCAUGUCACUUAUGAUUUUUUAAACUUUUCAAAACACUGUAUUUGGUAUGAAGUGCAAUAAUUUGGCAAGUUUCUGGGAAGCUUCACCAUCUUUGCCAUGCUCACACAUCCCAUCCAGCUCAUCAAUAAAAGUUAGCCCAUCACUCUGGAAUUAGUUUCAGAGCAAAGAAACUCUUUUUCAUUUUGGUUAAUUUUUGUGAACAUUCAAACUCAAUUCAGCUCCAGCAACUACAUUCCUCCCUGUCUCCUGCUGUCUUCCUCUCUUUGAUAAUGUAAUAUAAAUCAUGAGAAGGUGAAGAGUGGACUGUGUGUGCUGUCCUCAGCUUUACCAGAGCACGUAAAUAUAGGAGUGGCCUAAUAAAUGUAAAAUUUGGUGAGUUGAGAGCUGUGAAGCUUUUCUGAGGCCAGAAUCACCAGCAGAUGUAGUAAUUUGAAUCACAGUUUAUACAGUCUGACUCCACAGAACCUCGAAUUUUAGAUCAUUGUUCCUCUAAGUACUUGACUGCAUCAUGUCAUAAAGCUAUAAAAUAAAACACCAAACACCCCAGUCACAUUUUCUCUGAGGAACGACAAGCCUAAACAGACUGUUAUAGAGCCCAUGUUUUGGUAUACCUACCUGCAUAUUGACGGGAAUCUUGUGAAGAAGGCUGCAUCUGGGGGGUUCCAUUUCUUGUGUGUUGUGAGCUACUACUCUGGCUUGAAUUACUUGCGGAAUUGUUUCUGGAUGAAGACCCACCUCCACUCUCCACCUCUUCAAUGUUGUUUCCACUGUUGUGACUUGCAUGACAGUCCUUCCGCAUUCUGUUUGUGAGAUGAGACACACUCUCAAGUUAUGUUGUUUAUGAGAAUUUGUGUGGCCAACAUUAGAUAAACUCACAGUACACAUGAAUAGCUGUGCUCCGACCAGCCCCCUAGAUGUAUUCAACAGGCGAACACCAGAGCUCUGACAGUUUUGAGGAUAGUAAUUAUAUUACAUUAUAGUUAUAUUAGAGGUGGGUAAUUUGGUUUAGUCAAAAUAAAAAGCAACGUAAAACUCCAUUCAUCGCCCAAACCAAAUCUGUCUUGGUAGGUGGCCUUGGAGCCCUGACACCCAUCAGCAUACUUAAUCCAAUGUCAAAUUGGUUCCAAAAGGCGAAUCUUUAUAUGAGGUAGCCAAGUGGCAUGCUCUUCUCUCCCAAAUCCCAUAUGCUCUGGGAAUAAAGUGCACUCUGGGAGGUUAAUAUGCAAAGCAAACCCCAAA